UACGUAGGGGGCAAGCGUUGUCCGGAUUCAUUGGGCGUAAAGAGCGUGUAGGCGGCUAGGUAGGUCGGUUGUGAAAACUGGAGGCUCAACCUUCAGAGGUCGACCGAAACCAUCUGGCUAGAGUCCGGAAGAGGAGAGUGGAAUUCCUGGUGUAGCGGUGAAAUGCGCAGAUAUCAGGAAGAACACCCGUGGCGAAGGCGGCUCUCUGGAACGGGACUGACGCUGAGACGCGAAAGCGUGGGGAGCAAACAGG
rnacentral:rRNA from 1 species